rnacentral:misc_RNA from 1 species
UCUCCGUAGGUGAACCGGCGGAAGGAUCAUUGUCGAAGCCUGCCCAGCAGAACGACCCGCGAACUUGUAUUAACAACCGGGGGCAGGGGCGAUCUCGCCCCGUGCCCUCGAACGGAAGGGAAACACUCGUGCCUUCUUGUCGAACAACGAACCCCGGCGCGGUCUGCGCCAAGGAACUUCAAUUAAAGAGUGCCUCCGGCCGCCUCGGAAACGAUGCGCGUGUCGGUGGGGAAGCUUGUACAAAACCAUAACGACUCUCGGCAACGGAUAUCUCGGCUCUC